rnacentral:rRNA from 1 species
GAUGAACGCUGGCGGCGUGCCUAAUACAUGCAAGUCGAGCGAACGGACGAGAAGCUUGCUUCUCUGAUGUUAGCGGCGGACGGGUGAGUAACAUGUGGAUAACCUACCUAUAAGACUGGGAUAACUUCGGGAAACCGGAGGUAAUACCGGAUAAUAGUUUGAACCGCAUGGUUCAAAAGUGAAAGACGGUCUUGCUGUCACUGAUAGAUGGAUCCGCGCUGCAUUAGCUAGUUGGUAAGGUAACGGCUUACCAAGGCAACGAUGCAUAGCCGACCUGAGAGGGUGAUCGGCCACACUGGAACUGAGACACGGUCCAGACUCCUACGGGAGGCAGCAGUAGGGAAUAUUCCGCAAUGGGCGCAAGCCUGACGGAGCCACGCCGCGUGAAUGAUGAAGGUCUUCGGAUCGUAAAACUCUGUUAUUAGGGAAGAACAUAUGUGUGAGUAACUGUGCACAUCUUGACGUUACCUAAUCAGAAAGCCACGGCUAACUACGUG